rnacentral:rRNA from 1 species
AUUGAACGCUGGCGGCAGGCCUAACACAUGCAAGUCGAACGAGUGGCGGACGGGUGAGUAAUGUCUGGGAAACUGCCUGAUGGAGGGGGAUAACUACUGGAAAAGGUAGCUAAUACCGCAUACCAUCGGAUGUGCCCAGAUGGGAUUAGCUAGUAGGUGGGGUAAUGGCUCACCUAGGCGACGAGCCCUAGCUGGUCUGAGAGGAGGACCAGCCACGCUGGAACUGAGCCACGGUCCCGACUCCUACGGGAGGCAGCAGGGGGGAAUAUUGCACAAUGGGCGCAGGCCUGAUGCAGCCAUGCCGCGUGUAUGAAGAAGGCCUUCGGGUUGUAAAGUACUUUCAGCGGGGAGGCGUUACCCGCAGAAGAAGCAACGGCUAACUCCGUGCCAGCCGCCGCGGUAAUUC